CACAGGGCAAAGUGCUCAGAGAAGCUGAAGGCUGAACUUUCAGCCUUUUGACUGACCCCUAAAGCACUUUGGCUUCUCUGUGGACAACCCUGCUUCUCAAGGAACUGCAUUAUAUUAUCUGCGAAAAGAAGUUGGAAAUACUAAACGGGGACAGCACCAGGCAGGCACAAGCCUCCAGGGAGUAAUGCCACCAAAGGAGAGGAAGAGCCACAUUUCCAAAGGUAAAAGACAGGCCUUCAUCAUGGAGCUGUGUUUUACUUGGGGCUGAAAUACAGUGAAUUAUGGAGAAUUUGAUGAUUCAGAAAGAACACAGAAGAUGGCACAAUGAUUGAAAAUGAGCUCCAUAAGAAGACCAGAGGAAGUGGGAGUCUCUGGGUGAUGGAAAGAGGACAGUGAAGGCUAAGUAAGGCAAGACCUGGUAGUAAGUAGCAUUCAUACACAGUAUAAUGUCAUUUACAGAAAUUCAGAACACAUACAUGUUCAUUCAUAAAGUUACCUUCAGAAAUUGUCAGGUGUGAGGGGCGCCUGAAUGGCUCAGUCAGUUAAGUGUCUGACUCUUGGUUUCGGCUCAGGUCAUGAUCUCAUGGUUUGUG